ensembl:misc_RNA Y_RNA Y RNA
GGCUGGUCCGAUGGCAGUAGGUUAUCAGAACUUAUUAACAUUAGUGUCACUAAAGUUGGUAUACCCCCCCCCCCACUGCUAAAUUUGACUGGCUUUAA